UAUGUGAUCGUCUCUCGCAUAUCAAUAAGCGGAGGAAAAGAAACUAACAAGGAUUCCCCUAGUAACGGCGAGUGAAGCGGGAAGAGCUCAAAUUUGAAAUCUUAAAGGGUUUCCCUUUACGAAUUGUAGUUUAAAGAAGUGUUUUCUGUUGAGGUUUUGGUAAAAGUUCUUUGGAAUAGGACAUCAUAGAGGGUGAGAAUCCCGUAUUUGACCUUUACUUUCAACUUUGUGAUACACUUUCAAAGAGUCGGAUUGUUUGGGAAUGCAGUCCAAAAUGGGUGGUAAAUUUCAUCUAAAGCUAAAUAUUGGCGAGAGACCGAUAGCGAACAAGUACCGUGAGGGAAAGAUGAAAAGAACUUUGAAAAGAGAGUUAAACAGUACGUGAAAUUGUCAAAAGGGAAGCGUUUGACACCAGUGUUGUUUUUCUGAAAAUCAAUUAAAGAAGCUGUUUAUGCUAAGCUGUUUAGACUUUAUCAGCUAACUGUUUAGUUUUGAGCUUUUCUUUAAUGCACUUUUCAGUUAACAAGUCAACAUCAAUUUCUUUUGCUGUAAAAAAGCUUGAGGAAGGUGGCUUGAGAUUCGUCUUAAGUGUUUAUAGCCUCUUGCCUAUGCAGUCGGAGAGAUUGAGGUCUGCAGCGUAGAUCCUUCGGGGCUAAAUGCAUUUGUGCUAAGUUAUAGCAUUUUAUAGACAACUUGCUGACUAUGAUUUGUCUUGUAGCUUACUCGCUUAUGUUAUUUUACCUACGCUUAGGAUGUUGAGUCGUAGAGCACGCAG
rnacentral:rRNA from 1 species